rnacentral:rRNA from 1 species
GACGAACGCUGGCGGCGUGCUUAACACAUGCAAGUCGAGCGGUGAAGCGCCUUCCUUUUUGGUGGGUGUGGAUGAGUGGCGAACGGGUGAGUAACACGUGAGUAACCUGCCCCCUUCUUCUGGAUAACCGCAUGAAAGUGUGGCUAAUACGGGAUAUUCUGGGUCUGUCGCAUGAUGGGUCUGGGAAAGAUAUUGUUUCGGUGGGGGAUGGGCUCGCGGCCUAUCAGCUUGUUGGUGGGGUGAUGGCCUACCAAGGCGGUGACGGGUAGCCGGCCUGAGAGGGUGGACGGUCACACUGGGACUGAGACACGGCCCAGACUCCGACGGGAGGCAGCAGUGGGGAAUAUUGCACAAUGGGCGCAAGCCUGAUGCAGCGACGCCGCGUGAGGGAUGGAGGCCUUCGGGUUGUGAACCUCUUUCGCCAGUGAAGCAGGCCUGCCUCGUUUGUGGGUGGGUUGACGGUAGCUGGAUAAGAAGCGCCGGCUAACUACGUG